GAAUGCGACCGGUGGUGGUAUCCUUCUUCUGGACUCCUUGGAAGUUCCAAGAUUGGGUUGAGAGUGUGUUCAGCGUUAGCUGCAUCCACAAGGUAAUAUAGCAUUUUUUGCUUUACUUUUUUCCUUCUUGGCUUUGUGUUCGAGGGAAACAAAGUGAUGGGUGGAGACUUCCCUGUGGCCCUUGCUUGCGAGGCUUGGGUCCCUGUCGCUGGCUGACUCUGGAUCAUCCAGGGUCAUCCUCAUCGAGCAGGAAGCCCUCUGUAUCUCCCAUGGCAGCGUCGGCAGCUCUUUGACAGCCUUCUUCCACUUUAUCGAUCAGGCGGCAGAACUGAUCUUCCUUGGAAGGUCGAUCAGUUGCCUGGGGGAGAGGGGCCCUUGCGGGGAACAUGAAAGGGGCACCGGAGGUAUCAGCAGGGAAAUCAGGUGGAGGGUCUGUGAGGAUAACGAAGAGGUUUGUUAUGGGACUGAGAUGGGGUGAGGGAAGAUAGGGUUUUGAAGGAGCGGUGGGGAACGAAAAGGGUGAGGGGUGAGGGGUGAGGGAUUCGGAAUGGAAAGAGUUCAAACGAAGGGUUGCCUUGGGAGAGAAGAAGAUACGAUCGGCUGAGAUUUGAUUUGGCACAUCCGAAGAGAUCGAUGCAGAAUGGGCAACUGCCGGACGCGAGAUGCCAGGAUUCACUGCAGUCUGCACGGCUCCAGAGGCCGGAGCGACGGUUUGGGGACUCCGUCCACAGCACGAAGUCUGUGCCUCUACUAUGGUGAUGGGUUAUGAUCAUUCUAAUGGGGGCGGUUAUCAAUCUUGGGUCUUUUUCUGAACUUUGAUCCUACAGUGGUAGUGUUGGGGACGGAAGAAUGCAUCGGUAUUCCAGUGUUUUUGUUUGCCAGAGCUUUAUUCGUUGGAGCCAUUCUCGUCGGAAGAGAAAAAGAAUAGCUUUUCGAUGCAGGCCGUGAUCUGAAAGAGGAUUUUGGGGCUCAUUAGUUUGAUCGGAAGCCCAAAAAGUUGGGAGCCGAGGUAGGGGUAAACGUCAUUAGGGGCUCAAAGCGUUCACGCCAUGGGAAUAAGUUGAGCACCUGACUUCUAUCCAAGGAACCAUGGAUUGAAAGAGAAAGCACAAGAGUCCUCCGGCAAGAUCCAUAAUCUGAAUUUUGGCUCCUAGUUUUUUCCACAGGGACGACAACUUGGUUUUGAUUACUUUCACAA